GCUACCAUGACUUUCAUCCCCGUCUUCAUCUGGACACUGAUCCUCUGGACUCAAGAAUGCAGAGGUCAAGUCACAGUAACUCAGACUCCUGCAGUGAAAUCUGCUCUUCCAGGAGAAACAGUCACCAUCAACUGUAGAACCAGUCAGGCAGUGUAUACAGACUCAUACGGUGACCGUUUACACUGGUAUCAGCAGAAACCUGGAGAAGCUCCUAAACUCCUGAUUAAGUUCGCAAAUCAGCGAGAGUCAGGUAUUCCAGCUCGUUUCAGUGGCAGUGGAUCUGGAUCUGAUUUCACUCUGACCAUCAGUGGAGUCCAGACUGAAGAUGCAGGAGAUUACUACUGUCAGAGUGCACAUUACAUCAGUAGUAUCUGGUCGUAUCACAGUGUUAUAGAGUCGUACAAAAACCUCCCUCAGUCAGAUUGCAUGGGUCUUGCAGCAAAAUCCAAUUACACCUCAUGA